rnacentral:rRNA from 1 species
GAUGAACGCUGGCGGCGUGCUUAACACAUGCAAGUCGAACGAACCUUCGGGUUAGUGGCGGACGGGUGAGUAACGCGUGGGAAUCUGCCCUCAGGAGGGGGAUAACGGUUGGAAACGACCGCUAAUACCCCAUAUGCCGAGAGGUGAAAUGAAUUUCGCCUGAGGAUGAGCCCGCGUCUGAUUAGCUAGUUGGUGUGGUAAUGGCGCACCAAGGCUUCGAUCAGUAGCUGGUCUGAGAGGAUGAUCAGCCACACUGGGACUGAGACACGGCCCAGACUCCUACGGGAGGCAGCAGUGGGGAAUUUUCCGCAAUGGGCGAAAGCCUGACGGAGCAACGCCGCGUGAGGGAUGAAGGCCUCUGGGCUGUAAACCUCUUUUAUCAAGGAAGAAGAUCUGACGGUACUUGAUGAAUAAGCCACGGCUAAUUCCGUGCCAGCAGCCGCGGUAAUACGGGAGUGGCAAGCGUUAUCCGGAAUUAUUGGGCGUAAAGCGUCCGCAGGCGGCCUUGAAAGUCUGUCGUUAAAGCGUGGAGCUUAACUCCAUUUCGGCGAUGGAAACUACAAGGCUAGAGUGUGGUAGGGGCAGAGGGAAUUCCCGGUGUAGCGGUGAAAUGCGUAGAUAUCGGGAAGAACACCAGUGGCGAAGGCGCUCUGCUGGGCCAUAACUGACGCUCAUGGACGAAAGCCAGGGGAGCGAAAGGGAUUAGAUACCCCUGUAGUCCUGGCCGUAAACGAUGAACACUAGGUGUCGGGGGAAUCGACCCCCUCGGUGUCGUAGCUAACGCGUUAAGUGUUCCGCCUGGGGAGUACGCACGCAAGUGUGAAACUCAAAGGAAUUGACGGGGGCCCGCACAAGCGGUGGAGUAUGUGGUUUAAUUCGAUGCAACGCGAAGAACCUUACCAGGGUUUGACAUCCUGCGAAUCCCUUGGAAACGAGGGAGUGCCUUCGGGAGCGCAGUGACAGGUGGUGCAUGGCUGUCGUCAGCUCGUGUCGUGAGAUGUUGGGUUAAGUCCCGCAACGAGCGCAACCCACGUCUUUAGUUGCCAGCAUUCAGUUGGGCACUCUAGAGAGACCGCCGGUGAUAAACCGGAGGAAGGUGUGGAUGACGUCAAGUCAUCAUGCCCCUUACAUCCUGGGCUACACACGUACUACAAUGCUACGGACAAAGGGCAGCAAACUCGCGAGAGCUAGCAAAUCCCAUAAACCGUGGCUCAGUUCAGAUCGUAGGCUGCAACUCGCCUACGUGAAGGAGGAAUCGCUAGUAAUCGCAGGUCAGCAUACUGCGGUGAAUACGUUCCCGGGCCUUGUACACACCGCCCGUCACACCAUGGAAGUUGGCCACGCCCGAAGUCGUUACUCCAACCCGUAAGGGAGGAGGAUGCCGAAGGUGGGGCUGAUGACUGGGGUGAAGUCGUAACAAGGUAGCCGUACCGGAAGGUGCGGCUGGAUCACCUCCUAACAGGGAGACAAUACCCGAUUGUGAUGU